AUACGUAGGGGGCGAGCGUUGUCCGGAAUGAUUGGGCGUAAAGGGCGCGUAGGCGGCGCGGUAAGUCUGGAGUGAAAGUCCUGCUUUCAAGGUGGGAAUUGCUUUGGAUACUGCCGCGCUUGAGUGCAGGAGAGGUUAUCGGAAUUCCCGGUGUAGCGGUGAAAUGCGUAGAGAUCGGGAGGAACACCAGUGGCGAAGGCGGUUAACUGGACUGCAACUGACGCUGAGGCGCGAAAGUGUGGGGAGCAAACAGGAUUAGAUACCCUGGUAGUCCACACUGUAAACGAUGAAUGCUAGGUGUAAGAGGUAUCGACCCCUUUUGUGCCGGAGGCAACACAAUAAGCAUUCCGCCUGGGGAGUACGGUCGCAAGGUUGAAACUCAAAUGAAUGGACGGGG
rnacentral:rRNA from 1 species